GUUUCAAUCCCUCGUAGGUACGAUAAAAAC
rfam:Geobacillus sp. B4113_201601 NODE_271, whole genome shotgun sequence.